rnacentral:SRP_RNA from 2 species
GCCGAGCCUUGUAACGUGGGCUUGUAACUCGAGUGGGGGCAACAAUGUGGUGGAAUGUUGGGUUGUUCCUGAUGGCUGGGCUUUGGUGGGCUAAUGUCUGGUCUGCCCUAUCCAAGCACGGAGUUGAGCCACGUGGCCCAAACGAAAGUUUGGGCUGCUUGGCUCCUAGAGUGGGGUGGAAUGCGUGAGGCUGGUUUCACAGAGCAACGAACAGUCCCCGCUCCGUGCAGUGGAAGGAUAACGGGUCAGUGCUCUCCAAGUUCAAUAAAAACCAAAUGGGCUAUCUAAUUAGACCACCACUUUU